rnacentral:rRNA from 1 species
UACGAAGGGGACUAGCGUUGUUCGGAAUUACUGGGCGUAAAGCGCACGUAGGCGGAUUUGUUAGUCAGGGGUGAAAUCCCGGGGCUCAACCUCGGAACUGCCUUUGAUACUGCAAGUCUCGAGUCCGAUAGAGGUGGGUGGAAUUCCUAGUGUAGAGGUGAAAUUCGUAGAUAUUAGGAAGAACACCGGUGGCGAAGGCGGCCCACUGGAUCGGUACUGACGCUGGGGUGCGAAAGCGUGGGGAGCAAACAGG